CUGCGGUGGAGACACACAGACAUGCCCAGGCAGUGACUCAGCAUGCAGUGCCUUACUUUGGAGGAGUUUGCUUGCAGAAGGAGGGCCAGGCUUGUGGGAAGGUGUUACUACUAUUUCUGGAGGGAGUCAGGCUGUGUGAUGGAUCUCAAGAGUUGUGCUUUGACAACCUCGGGUUCAAAUCAGGGCCCCUCCGGUUCUCACUGUCUCCACACAGACAAAACAAAACCCCCAGAGACACACACUGAGAUAGUGUGAAAGGAAGUAAGAUUAUGCGUCACCUGUGACAACUAAGGAGGGUUUUAAUUUACAAAAUAAGCAGAUAAAAUGUGAACUACUGAGCACAACGGUAUAAAAAAAAAAAAACAACUACAUGUCUGUUGAUGUUUUCGUCUUGUUUGCUUGAGGGUGAUGGAGUUUUGCAGCCAUGGGCACAUGGGUGUGACAAGACAGCAGGUGGAAGGACCAGAAAGACCCAGAGUUUGGUAGUCGUGUCGGGACCUGAAGCUUCUGAGUGUUUACUGUGAGUCACAGCACACAAAGCACAUUAAUACAGAGGAAGUCAACUCAUUGAACUCUGCUGGAGGUCAUUUGUUUAGGUUGAAAGUAAGUCAUUAUGUGUGAGAGAUUAAUGUUCUAUUUAUAUUAUACCAUUUUUUUUGUGGGGGGGCGGGUAGAAAAUAUAUGUACUUUGUUGAAGCCAUUGAGAACACGUAACCAUAGAAUGGGAUUCAAAAGGA